CUGAAAAAACUGUUGGAAUUGGAAGCCUGUAAAAAUGACUAUAACACACUGUGUUUGUUUACAGUAAUAGCGUAUGCCUCCUCGACAGUGUAAUUGCCUACAAAUGAUCCAUUUCAGGUGCCAACCUCAUGCUGUCAGUUGAGACACAGACUAUUUUAGUAUUUUGAAGCCGCUGUGAAAUAGAAGAAUAUUUUCAGCAGCUACUGGGUUCCUGGUUCGAAUCAAUCAAGAUGAUGAAACCUGAAGAUGGGACAAAUUACAUGAGAAGGUGGCCCAGAGAAAGCCAACUGUUCUCAACCUCUCCAUUGCCCCAUUCUUCCAAGAGCUCACUGACUUUGAAUGAAGACCUCUAGUGAGUCCUCCCGGUUUUGACCCUUGCCUGUUUCUGGACUCUGUACCUGCC